rnacentral:rRNA from 1 species
ACGAACGCUGGCGGCGUGCUUAACACAUGCAAGUCGAACGAAGCUUGAUUACGGAUUCUUCGGAUGAAGUAUGAUAUGACUGAGUGGCGGACGGGUGAGUAACGCGUGAGUAACCUGCCCUUCAGAGGGGGAUAGCGUUUGGAAACGAACGGUAAUACCGCAUAAUGUAUUUUGACCGCAUGAUCGAAAUACCAAAGAUUUAUCGCUGAAGGAUGGACUCGCGUCGGAUUAGGUAGUUGGUGGGGUAACGGCCUACCAAGCCGACGAUCAGUAGCCGGACUGAGAGGUUGAUCGGCCACAUUGGGACUGAGACACGGCCCAGACUCCUACGGGAGGCAGCAGUGGGGAAUAUUGCACAAUGGGCGCAAGCCUGAUGCAGCAACGCCGCGUGAAGGAAGACGGUUUUCGGAUUGUAAACUUCUGUUCUUAGUGAAGAAUAAUGACGGUAGCUAAGGAGCAAGCCACGGCUAACUACGUG